rnacentral:rRNA from 1 species
UUGAACGCUGGCGGCAUGCUUUACACAUGCAAGUCGAACGGUAACAGGCCGCAAGGUGCUGGCGAGUGGCGAACGGGUGAGUAAUGCAUCGGAACGUGCCCAGUCGUGGGGGAUAACUACUCGAAAGAGUAGCUAAUACCGCAUACGAUCUAUGGAUGAAAGCGGGGGACCGUAAGGCCUCGCGCGAUUGGAGCGGCCGAUGUCAGAUUAGGUAGUUGGUGGGGUAAAGGCUCACCAAGCCAACGAUCUGUAGCUGGUCUGAGAGGACGACCAGCCACACUGGGACUGAGACACGGCCCAGACUCCUACGGGAGGCAGCAGUGGGGAAUUUUGGACAAUGGGCGCAAGCCUGAUCCAGCAAUGCCGCGUGCAGGAAGAAGGCCUUCGGGUUGUAAACUGCUUUUGUACGGAACGAAACGGCUCUGGUUAAUACCCGGGGCUAAUGACGGUACCGUAAGAAUAAGCACCGGCUAACUACGUG